GGUUCUAAUGAGUGUUUCUUCUUGUUCAUGGUACAGAGGAAGGGUCACACUACCACCAGGUCAUAAAACUAUACUCCUGGAAAUGUCAAAGACUCCUAGGAAAGCCUAGCCAAAUAUGUGUUUCUUUAGGUUCAGGGUACAGAGGAAGGGUCAAACUACCACCAGGGUCAUAAAACUACCCCUGGAAAUGCCCCAAACUCCUACGAAAGCCUUGCCAAAUAUGUUUCUUUAGGUUCAUGGUACAGAGGAAGGGUCACACUACCACCAGGGUCAUAAAACUACCCCCUGGAAAUGCCCUAAACUCCCUUGAAAGCCUUGUCAAAUGUGUGUUUCUCUAGGUUCACGGUACAGAAGAAUGGUCAAACUACCACCAGGGUCUUAAAACUACCCCUGGAAAUACCCAAACUCCUACGAAAGCCUUGCCAAAUGUGUUUUUUUUGGUUCAUGGUACAGAGGAAGGGUCAAACUACCACAAGGGUCAUAAAACUACUCCUGGAAAUACCCAAAACUCCCUUGAAAGCCUUGUCAAAUGUGUGUUUCUUUAGGUUCAGGGUACAGAGGAAGGGUCAAACUACCACCAGGAUCAUAAAACUACCCCCUGAAAAUGCAUAAAACUCCCUCGAAAACCUUGUCAAAUGUGUGUUUCUUUAAGUUCAUGGUACAGAAGGAUGAUCAAACUACCACAAGUGUCCUAAAACUAUCCCUGGAAAUGCCCCAAACUCCUACGAAAGCCUUGCCAAAUAUGUUUCUUUAGGUUCAUGGUACAGAGGAAGGGUCACACUACCACCAGGGUCAUAAAACUACCCCCUGGAAAUGCCCUAAACUCCCUUGAAAGCCUUGUCAAAUGUGUGUUUCUCUAGGUUCACGGUACAGAAGAAUGGUCACACUACCACCAG